AUUCUUUUGUAGUUCGUAAGUGUGGUGAUCAGGUUUUCAAGUGCUUGUGGGAAAUAUGCCUCCCUCAAAUCUUAUUACGAAGUCGGCCCAUUUUACUUGUCUGACA
ensembl:snoRNA